GCGUGGUAGCUCAGUUGGUUAGAGCGCAGGAUUCAUAACCCUGAGGUCGGGAGUUCAAAUCUCCCUCAC
rnacentral:tRNA from 1 species